rnacentral:rRNA from 1 species
AUGCCGAAGGCCGCACGUGUAGGACAGACGCCUCUCCACCGCGGCCUCCCGGAUGAGAUUGUCGUCUGGGGUAUCCUCGUCCGCCUCCCCCCAGAAUCCCUCCUCCGCUGCCGCGCUGUCUGCCACGCCUGGCACGUAGCCACCACCACCGGCGACUUUCUCCUCGCCCACCACGUCCACCAGCCCACCGUCCCCCUCCUCCAUAGUCACGACCAUCGUAAUGGCAUCACCAGCUUGUCCCUAGACAUCGUUCCCUUGGAUGACCGGGCAGGGGUCGCCGACACUGGCACCGACCAGUUGAAGUCUGUCGCACGACUCGUAGACCACCGUUUCUUCCGUCCGGUGGCCUCCUGCGACGGCCUCCUGGUCCUCUCCGUCCAUACCAAGCACUUCGUCAUCUGCAACCUGGCAACUCACCAGCAUGCUCCACUCCCGCAGCUUAGUGGCUUCGUUCUACUGGGGAUGUACCUGCACAACCCUACAGGCGAGUACCAACUGUUGUACCUUGAACAGGAGCUGGCAUAUGAUGAUGAUGAUGCACUUGAUGGCCAACUGGGACCUCCUGGAUUUCAACAUGUCUACCACGUCUUGGCACUGGGCUCCUCUGAGCCCCCGAGGGAAAUCCACUACGAGUGGCAGAAAGACCUGAUAUACAUGAUUGUACCCGUACCUGUCCUGUUUGGUGGUAGCCUGCAUUGGCCCCUAGAGCAUCGCGAGGAUGGGAGAACCAUGAUAAUGGUGUUCGAUACCACGACCGAGUCGUUCUGGAAGAUGCAGUCUCCGGUUCUUGAUGGCCUGUUUGAGAUGCAUGGCAUGCUUGCCAUGUAUAUCGUUGAUGAUGAAGUCACGCAUGUCGCUGUUUGGGUGUUGAAGGACUACGAGAACGAGGAAUGGACCAUCAAGUGCCGGAUUGAAUUGCCGGUUGAAGGGAUCAUGAUGCAGUGUGGAAUGCACCACAGCAGUUGGUAUGUGGGGGCUGUGUCUUGGGAUGAUGAUGUGCUAGUCCUGGUCCAGUUUGGCGAGUGGCUACUUCAGAUCGACGUCGAUGGCAAGUUGGUCCGCAGUUUCUACCGUGAAAGCCUCCGUUUUACUCAUCAUCAGCUCAAACAAAGUCUUGUUCCACAUACCUUCUUUCCAAGCCUCCAGGAUUAUGUUGUCAAUGAUUUGCCAUUCUGCCACGCCGUCUGCCGGAUGGUCGUCGCGCCAUCUGGAAGAUCAUAUGGGGGUGCCCUGCUCCCCCGAAGGUGCCCACUUGCCAUGGAUCUUUGGCGAGCCAUGGAGAAGGACUGGCCGAUUCCAAAGGUGGAGACCAUCAAGAAUGAUGGCCCAGAGUGGUUAUUCACACUACUGAGCCCUCUGUCGGAUACGGCACGCAUGGUCGUCCUCAUGAUAAGUGGCGAGCAUGAUUUAGAGAAAGGGAAAAUGGUGGUGCAAGAGGGAGGCCGGGCUGACUAUGCCAGCGAGAGGAAGGCACAACCGCCCCAUUGGAAAAGGAAGAGGCGCAUGGCCGCGCAACUACCAGGUCACCUGGCUGGGAGGUAUGCGUACGGGAGAAGGAGGCGAAGAGAUAAGAAUCAGAGAAAUUUAUCGGGAGAUCACCAAUACCGAUCUCUGGGUGCUGCGAUGGAAUCCCGGCGGGCGACCAUGGCGAAGGCCUCGAGGACAGGAGCAACGCCUCUCCACCGCGGCCUCUCGAAGGAGAUCAUGUUCUUUGAGAUCCUUGUUCGCCUCCCCCCGAAAUCCCUCCUCCGCUGUCGCGCCGUUUGUCGUUCCUGGCGCCGUACCACCUCGAAGCGCCGCUUCCUGCUGGCCCACCAUGCCCGCCAGCCCGCCCUACCAAUCAUCUGCAGCGUCCAACACGGCGACGGCCGCUACCUAAGCAUCCAGGCCUUCGACCACCAGGCCGCCGACGCCCAGAUCCAACCCGUCGCUCGGCUUAACGGUACCUUCAGCCUGGAGGCAUCCUGCGACGGUCUCCUCAUCCUCUCUAUGGGGGCCAUGUGCAACCACGUUUCUGUGUGUAACCCCGUCACGCGUCAGCAUGCUCCCCUCCGGCAGCUGGAGGGUUUUACUGUUAUGAAGUUGUACCCACACCGCCCUACAGACAGAAGGGUGCUCCGGUUGUUCACGCCAACUCACAUAGAGGUAGAUGACACGCUUGGCAUCUAUAGCUAUGAUGAUGAUACGGAGAUUGUAGAGAUACUGGUGUUGCAGAACUAUGAAAACGAGGUUUGGAAUUACAAGUGCCAGGUCAAAUUGCCGUCCGCAGAAAUUAUGGGGCAGAUAGGAAGCUCGACCUGCUUUUCGGAUGUGAGCGUUGUGUCGCGGGAUGGCGACUUCCUCUUGCAGGGACUCUACAAUUCGUUGCUGAAAUCCUUGGAGGCUGCGACGGAAACCCUACUGACGACCAUGGCGAAGACUGCAACAAUGGCAGCACCCCUUUGUGGCCUCCCGGAGGAGAUCGUCGUCUGGGAGAUACUCGUCCGCCUAGCCCCCAAUGACCUCAUCCGCUGCCGCGUCGUCUGCCAUGCCUGGUGCCGCGUGACCUCCGCCCGCAACUUCCUCCUGGCCCAUCACAGUCGCCAGCCCUCCCUCUACCUCCUUUACGGUUUCGACUACGCCACCGUUCACCCCCAAAACAUCCUUGCCUUCGACCGCCAAGCCGCCACCGCUGCCCAGCUCCAUACGGCUGCCCGGCUUAAAGAAGACUACUAUAUCGCGGCCUCCUGCGACGGUAUGCUCAUCCUCUCCGGGUAUGGCAUGACAGGCACCAUCUGUUGUAACCCAGUCACACGUCAACAUACACCACUCAAGAUAGCGCCAGACUUGAAAAUCCUGGGGAUGUACCCACAUCGGCCUACCGGGACUGAACAGCCACCAAGGUACAUCGGAUGGAGAGAAACAUCAUCGACGUUCUUGAACACACCCGCCCUGGUGCGUGAUAGUCUGCAUUGGUCCUAUAUCUUUGAGAUGGAUGACACACUCGGCAUCUAUUCUCAUAAGAGUGAUACAGAAACUGUGGACAUAUGGGUGUUGCGAAACUACGAAGCUGCAGGGAGGGGCAUCGGAGAAGAAGAACUGCUCUUCUUCAUCAUCGCAGGUCUAGAUAUGGACUAUCAGCCCAUCAUAUCGGCCCUUGACGUCCGCACCAACCCGGUCUCUGUCGACGAGCUGUUUGCCAUGAUGGCAAACUUCGACCAAUGGGUCGAGCUCUUCCACGGCUCUGGAGCAGGAGGCUUCAAAUCCUCGGCCAACCUGGCUGCGAGGAAUCAUGGUGGCGGUGGCAAGGGCAAUAACCGUGGAUCGUCCAAACCCACCAAUGGUGGUGGCGGGUAUCGCGGUGGUGGCAGCAACAGCAAUGGCGGUGGCGGCAAUGCCAACAACAACUAA